rnacentral:rRNA from 1 species
GAUUCACGCUGGCGGCGUGCAUAACACAUGCAAGUCGAACGAAUUGGCGGACGGGUGAGUAACGCGUGAGUAACCUGCCUUAGAGAAGGGGAUAGCCUUUGGACACGAAGAAUAAUACCCUAUGCUCUUAGAUGGACUUGCGUCUUAUUAGUUAGUUGGUGGGGUAACGGCCCACCAAGACAGCGAUAAGUACCCGGCUUGUGAGAGUGGACGGCAACAUUGGGACUGAGACACGGCCAAGACUCUACGGGAGGAAGCAGUGGGGAAUUUUGCACAAGGGGGGUAACAAUGAUGCAGCGACGCCGCGUGAUUUAGAAGGCAUUCGGGUUGUAAAAAUCUUUUAUAUGGGAAGCAGUACCAUAGGAAUAAGGACCGGCUAAUUACGUGCCAGCAGCCGCGGUAAUUC